UAACAAUGAUUCCCCUAGUAACGGCGAGUGAACAGGGAAAAGCUCAAAGUUGGAACCUCCUGGCCCUAGGCCUGGCGGAUUGUAAACUAAAGCUCUCGAGUAGUUCGGCUAGCCUGGUAAAAAAGUUCUCUGGAAAGGGACGACAUGGAGGGUGAAAUCCCCGUCUUUGGCCAGAGCAUAGUCCAACGUUUGCUUGGAAGUGAAGAGUCAGGUUGUUUGGUAUUGCAGCCUAAAGCUGGAGGUAAAUCUCUCCUAAAGCUAAAUAUUGACGAAAGACCGAUAGCGAACAAGUACCGUGAGGGAAAGAUGAAAAGCACUUUGAAAAGAGGGUCAAAAAGUACGUGAAAUUGCUGAAAGGGAACCGUAUGAAAUCAGCCUGUCUCUUUGGUAAUCAACCUGGAAUUCGUUCUGGGUGCACUUGCCGGUGAGUCAGCCUGCGACAAUUUGACUUGGGGGAAAAAAUCGGGGGGAAUGUGGCCUCGGCUUCGGUCGUGGUGUUAUAGCCCUUUGAAAAAUACCCUGGGUUGGAUUGAGGACUGCAGCGAGCCAUUAGGGAUGAACUGUGGGCGCUUGGCUUUGCCUUGAAAGAAAUCUCUGCUUCGGGUGGUGUCUUUCUCGGCGGGGUCAACUCGCCUACUUUUUCUUUUUCUCGGUUAGGUCGCAGGCAUAAUGAUUUUAUAUAACCCGUCUUGAA
rnacentral:rRNA from 1 species